rnacentral:rRNA from 1 species
GAUGAACGCUGGCGGCGUGCCUAAUACAUGCAAGUCGAGCGAACAGACGAGGAGCUUGCUCCUCUGACGUUAGCGGCGGACGGGUGAGUAACACGUGGAUAACCUACCUAUAAGACUGGGAUAACUUCGGGAAACCGGAGCUAAUACCGGAUAAUAUAUUGAACCGCAUGGUUCAAUAGUGAAAGACGGUUUUGCUGUCACUUAUAGAUGGAUCCGCGCCGCAUUAGCUAGUUGGUAAGGUAACGGCUUACCAAGGCAACGAUGCGUAGCCGACCUGAGAGGGUGAUCGGCCACACUGGACCUGAGACACGGUCCAGACUCCUACGGGAGGAAGCAGUAGGGAAUCUUCCGCAAUGGGCGAAAGCCUGACGGAGCAACGCCGCGUGAGUGAUGAAGGUCUUCGGAUCGUAAAACUCUGUUAUUAGGGAAGAACAAAUGUGUAAGUAACUAUGCACGUCUUGACGGUACCUAAUCAGAAAGCCACGGCUAACUACGUG